UAGAUCCGCGAUUACCCAUU
rnacentral:siRNA from 1 species